rnacentral:tRNA from 1 species
UGUUCCCGCCCGGGAUCGAACCGGGGACCUUGUGCGUGUGAAGCACAUCUCCCAAGUACAC